UAAGGUGGCGGUUCACGGAGGAGAUACCAAGUACACUUUGCCUUAAUUCUUUCCUGUUGUAUGUGUCUAUUUUCUAAAGUUGCAGGCCAAGCUGAAGUUUGGUGUUUCAGUGCAGUAAACACCUCAAGCUCUCUGCUCAUUCUCCAUGUGAGCGUCAUCCUGCAGUGGAACGAUACCAAAGCAAUGUAGAGCAAAGUCAUAAACAAGCAAACAGCUGCCACUGCAGACAAAGUGCAACUCAAGGACCUCAUUACAGACCUCCUGCAGAGCUUAAUGGGGUCGCAGGAGUCUAACCCAGCAACACAAGGCAUAAG